UACGUAGGGGGCAAGCGUUGUCCGGAAUCAUUGGGCGUAAAGCGCGCGUAGGCGGCUCGAUCAGUCUGCUGUAAAAGUCAAAGGCUCAACCUUUGAAUGCCGGUGGAUACUGUCGGGCUAGAGUCCGGAAGAGGCGAGUGGAAUUCCUGGUGUAGCGGUGGAAUGCGCAGAUAUCAGGAGGAACACCAACGGCGAAGGCAGCUCGCUGGGACGGUACUGACGCUGAGGCGCGAAAGCGUGGGGAGCGAACAGG
rnacentral:rRNA from 1 species